GGAUCAUUUUUACUAAUCUAAAUAAAGAAAAUUAAAUAUCUGAAAAAAGUCAAUAUUGUUCGUAGGUGUGCCACUGUUGAAGAAGCGAAAUCAGAAGGGACGAUACAUAGAGUAAUUUAAUUUAUAUUUGUAGGCAACGAUAAUUUAUUGCAUGCUAACAGCAAUACGAUUCUGAACAAAAUAUUAUCGUCAUAUUUUUUCCCUUGUUGUCAACAUAACCCAGCAAUAAACGAAAAUAAUAAUACAAAUUGCCAAUGUUUUCUGUUUAUUUAGAAAACUAGUUGUAACAUUUGUAAUGCACCAAUUAGAUCAAAAAGUUUACUAGAAACUCGCUUUAAAGUUUUCGACUGACGCAAGAUUUCUGG